AGGUGGCAAUGGGCAGUAUGUUUCCUGUCAACUGGGUCUCUCCUAGAUAGGGGAAGCCACUCCCAGCUCAGAAGGGCCUUCGGUUUGUCAUCGGGAGACACGCCCGGCCCCU